UACGUAGGGCGCAAGCGUUAUCCGGAAUUAUUGGGCGUAAAGAGCUCGUAGGCGGUUUGUCGCGUCUGCCGUUAAAGUCCGGGGCUCAACUCCGGAUCUGCGGUGGGUACGGGCAGACUAGAGUGAUGUAGGGGAGACUGGAAUUCCUGGUGUAGCGGUGAAAUGCGCAGAUAUCAGGAGGAACACCGAUGGCGAAGGCAGGUCUCUGGGCAUUAACUGACGCUGAGGAGCGAAAGCAUGGGGAGCGAACAGG
rnacentral:rRNA from 1 species